rnacentral:rRNA from 1 species
UACGAAGGGGGCUAGCGUUGCUCGGAAUCACUGGGCGUAAAGGGUGCGUAGGCGGGUCUUUAAGUCAGGGGUGAAAUCCUGGAGCUCAACUCCAGAACUGCCUUUGAUACUGAAGAUCUUGAGUCCGGGAGAGGUGAGUGGAACUGCGAGUGUAGAGGUGAAAUUCGUAGAUAUUCGCAAGAACACCAGUGGCGAAGGCGACUCACUGGACACGUAUUGACGCUGAGGUGCGAAAGCGUGGGGAGCAAACAGG